GGGCAAUAUGUCUGCACCGUCAGCAACGACGUGAACUCUGUCAAUGUUACAUUUAACGUAACAGUCCAAGAAAACUUCAUUCCGUUCAUUAUAGGUGCUGUAGUAGCUGCUGUGGUUGUGAUUUUGAUCGGCUCAGGAAUCAUCUACAGUUUUUAUUACAAACAGAACAAGAUGGGAGAAUACCGACCAACAGAUGCUCUCUGUUUGGACACAAUGCAUCACACCGCAGUUCCUCUUUGUUAGUAGAUGGUUUCAGUGUUGUGAGAAAGUUACAGGAACUCUUUGUAUCUGGAAUCUGGAGGUUACAUGUUUUACACUCAAGCUGGCAUGGAUUACAGUUAUUUCCUCUCGACUAUUUGUUCUUUGAUGGUAUUUUUGAAUCAUCUUUGUUCCUUUUUUCUCUUUUUCUGCAGAAAACAUCCAACCGCACGGAGUAGGUGGCACAGUUGCUGUUGUGGUUCUGCUUUUGAUCACUGUUGCCAUUGCAGUUGCCAUUGCAGUCUACAUCUUGUACUACAAACCAAAGAAAAUGAGAGAGAGCCAACAUUCACCAUUUGGACACAGUGCGUCACAGAGGGAAAAUCUGAGGCUGGAAGAUGCCUAGGUCCAGUGACACGGAGUCAGCUUGGUGUUGUUGCAAGUUCUUCCAUUUCCAAUGAAGGACAAAUUCUGCUUCCUGCGUGGAUGUGUUAACUUGCUCCUUCUUGGACGGUUGGGUUGCAGUUUUCCGUUGUUUGGUUAAAACUUAUGUUUCUAUUUAGCUCAUUUCCUUGCUGCUAAUGUUUGUCCAUGUUAGCUAAGACCAUUGUAACGACUAUGUUAGAAGUUCUAUGAACAAUUUAAUUCGGACUGUACAUUGGUAAUAUGUCUUAGUGGUGGGAAACGUCUUACUUUGCGACGUAGACGUAGGAUUUUAAAUGAUUUCCUCUUCAUUUUUGCCAUCUUAAAACCUCUGUCUUAAAAAUAUCUGUCUGCUUCAUGUUGAUUGGAUGAUCUAAAACUGGUUACUAAACAUUUUAUAUGUCAGUAAAUACUGUAUCCAGAGUCCUUUGUUGUCUCUUAUGCUCUUUUCUGUCUAGCCUUUCUUUAUAAAAUUAAUAGCUGUCUUUCCAUUACAAAUGAACGCAAAAUUUCGCAAUUUCAGUGAUUUCAUGAAAUAAAAAUCAGUUUUGCGAAAUACAUUAAUUUUGAUGCGACUAAAAAAAAACAUCCUCAUCUUAGCGCAAAAUCUUUUUAUCGAGAAACGUGAGAUUUUUUUUUAAUACUCAUGUUUAAUGAGUGGGAUUGUUUUUUCUAACUGUGUUCACAAAUACAAUUUUAAAAUUAUUUUUAUAAUUCUAAUUUGCGCAAUUAUACGGUCACUGGUCAGGAAUUACUGAUGGCUCAUCUGGUUUCUGGAAGUAAUCAUUCUAAGACAUUAAAUAAAUUACUCUUCCAUUCUAUUUUCUCAUGUUCAUGUCCAAAUUUUUGGCUUGUUAAGCCUGUUUUGUGCUCUGACUUACUCAGCCGAAUGUAAAAUUUUGUUUAAAACGGGCAUGAACUGAGUGGAGCAUGAAGCAAUUAUAAUCCUUUCUACUUUAUGAUGUAAUAAACAAACGUGACGCCCUGAUGGAAGAGUAUAGAUGAGACAUUUUCUUACAAAUCACUUUGAUAUAUUUUCUACUCGUUUCUAAGUUCAGAAACUAACAGUUGUUGAUCACUGUGGUUUAUUUUUGAACUAUUGACCUUUAUGUGAAAAGUCCCCUCCCUUUCCCCCCUCUGUUUGCUUUGGCUUCCUCUUGCGGAGAAAACAACAAACCAGCCAUCUGUAUUUCAAUGCAGGUAUAAUUUAAUCUGUCUUACAUCAUCUUGCUCUGUGUUUAAACUUUAAUGUGAGACUAGUUGUAGAGAAAAAUGUGAGUGAUCUGCAUUGUUUUCUGUCGACCCCAGCUCUGCUGAUAAAGUGUUUGUUAAAACUCUCCGACUCGUUGAUCUGCAGGUUUUUGUUUGUGGUGAACAGAACAGAUUCAAACCAUCAGCCAGACUCUGUAUCAUGUGGUUUGAUUAAAGGAUUUAUGUUA